rnacentral:rRNA from 1 species
UACGGAGGGGGCUAGCGUUGUUCGGAAUUACUGGGCGUAAAGCGCGCGUAGGCGGACCUGCAAGUCGGGGGUGAAAGCCCGAGGCUCAACCUCGGAACUGCCUUCGAUACUGCGGGUCUCGAGUCCGGGAGAGGUGAGUGGAAUUCCUAGUGUAGAGGUGAAAUUCGUAGAUAUUAGGAAGAACACCAGUGGCGAAGGCGGCUCACUGGCCCGGCAUUGACGCUGAGGCGCGAAAGCUAGGGGAGCAAACGGG